UGAUUAUUUUAUUAUUAAUUAAAACAAAACAAGCGAAAUUUCGUACUCUUUCGACAAAUACAAUACAUUAAUAGUUGAUUAGUUGGUUAUUGUACGAAUUCCCGCCAUGCCGCCAAUUCGCAAACCCAAAACAAAGACGAUAUGCAGUUCACAUUUCAAAAAAAAUUAUUUGAAUCGUCUCAAUGUCUAAUAUAAUUUGACCCCUAACUUCAGUACUACUAAACGAUAAAUAAUAUGUCAGACAUAAAAUGGACGAUCGAUUCGUGUUGCUACGCAAGUGUUCGGUAAGCGUCGUGAAUCAUCCUUCGUUGUUGAACUGACGCAACUUUCGCUACUUGCUUUAAUAAUACGUAUUAUGAGGUUCUUAAAUUUAAACCUUAAGUAUCAAAAAAUAGAGCACUUUUUUGUCUAACAAAACUUUGACCGUUUUUUAAUAUCAUGGUCCAGUAUAUAGCGCGGUUAGCGUCUACCUGACAGCUCCAUCCGUUCGCCGGCCGUAUUGUGCUAUUACCAAUUUACCGCCCAAAAUCCUUAUGAAGAAAAAAAAAAAACUCCAGCAGAGGCAGCAGAGGCGGUCGAGACAAGAUGGCUGAGGCUGCAUGAAGCUGGUAUUGUGAAUAUUGUGAUAAAGUUUUUAUUGUUACUGGACAUAGUAGGAAGAACUGAACAUGUCUCGAAAACCUUUUGUCCUAAUGUCUAGGCAGGGACAGUUAAAGAGAAUAAAACGAGAAAUGGCACAAAACACACAAACAAAUAAUAUUUCGACCAAUGACAGCCACACAGAGGAAAACAUAUUGUUUUCUCAUCACAACUCUCGUCAGGUGGUGCAGCUAAUGGCAGAGAACGAAUUUGACUUGAAUAGCCCGGGUUCCUCUUGACAUUGUUCCCAUCCUCCUCAAAACCAUUUCAAUUCCUCUCCAAGUCAACAAAAUACUCCAGCUUAUAAUGAUUAUUCGGCAUUUAAUAAUUUUAUUAAUGAACAGCCUUUAUCAGAUAGUGAUAGUGAUGACCAGGUUAAUCCAAUUGAUAUGAAUGAAUCAUUUAAAAAUAGUUUGAGACAUUGGGCUAUCAAAAAUCAAAUAACCCAUGUUGCUACUAAUGAAUUGCUGAAUAUAUUAAAAGAUCAUGAAUGUUUUGAUUUGCCAGCUGAUGCUAGAUCAUUACUUAAGACUCCGGCAAAUGUUAUCUGUCGAGUUGUUGAGCCAGGACAUUACUCUCAUAUAGGUUUGGAGAAAAAUUUGAGGGAAAUAUUGAAAUUUGUUAGUGUAAAUGAUAAUGAAAUUCUUCUAUUAAUCAGCAUUGAUGGGUUACCAUUAUUUAAAAGUAGUACAAUGGAGUUUUGGCCAAUUUUGGGUUCUGUCUAUAAUGUUCCUGCAAUAAAAUCGGUUGUGUUUCCUAUUGGUGUGUAUUGUGGCCCUAAAAAACCUAUUAGCUGCACAUCUUUUAUGGAAGAAUUUAUUUCUGAAGUUGCUAAAUUGAUUAACUCGGGUUUGACUAUUAACGGCAAAAAACAUUAAAGUUGCUAUUAAAGGUUUUGUUUGUGAUACUCCGGCAAAAUCUUUUCUAUUAGGAGUCAAAGGACACACAGGUUAUUAUUCAUGUACAAAGUGCAGACAGCCUGGUGUUUAUUUGGAAAACAGAAUGACAUUUCCUGAGUGUGAUGGUUGCAUCACUGAAUGUUUUGAGAAAACAUUUUGUCAAAACAUUCAUCAAUUUAUAUGGCGCCCAAAUGGCAACUUAUAAUCUACAUGGUCUUGUACACCUCAGUGAUGAUGUAUAUGAAUUUGGUGCACUUGAUUCCUGUGCAGCAUUUCCAUUUGAAAACUUUUUACAGGUUCAAAAAGAAUAUCAGAAAAGGGGCCAAACCUCUUCAGCAAAUAAUUAAGAGGUUCGGGGAAAUGAGUAAUUCUAACUUUUGGACUAAAAACAUAUUACCUUGUGGUUCUAUUUAUCCAAUAUUUUUAAAACCUCACUCAUCAGGCUUGCUUUUGCCAGGGUGUGAUAAAUUACAGCAGUUCAGCUCAAUUAAAUUUCAAUCUUUUGUAAUAAAAACAGCACAUCCGGAUUCAUAUUGUGUUUUAAAACAUGGUAAUAUUGUAGCAGUAUGCAACAUAGUGUUUUCCAAUAAUGUACAGAGCAUGGUUAUACUCUGUAAAGAGUUUGCAACUAAAGAAAACUUCUUUGGUACACCAUUAAUAGAAAGUUCUAGUAUAGGAAUUAAUAUAGUAAAAGAAAAAAUGAGUCUAUGUGAAAAACCUGUGUCGGAUAUUGUGGGAAAAGUUGUUCUUCUCCCUUUUCAUGAUCACCAUGUCGCAAUCAAAAUGCUGCAUUCAUAGGUCUUAAUCCAUAAUGUCCUUUGUUCCUGUCCUAUCCUUUACUAGCCUUGUGGGUUUUGUCAAAGUGGAUGAUUACUUACUACAGAAUCUUUAUAAUGGCUCAUUUUGCCAUCGUUACAUUUGUGGACGAGGCUGAUGCACCAGGAAUAAUUGCAUCAAACUGGGUAAUAAAUGAAAAUUUAUGUUCGUACCCUAAUGUACGUACAGAAGAAUUAAAAGACAAAUUGUUAAAAAGGAAAGCUGAACCCGAGGAUAAAUGGCCGCAGUAUAAAAUAAAAAUUCUAAAAUACUACGGUAUGAAAUUUUCAUAUAUUUUUAGGGUUCCGGACCUACCUGAAAAGGAAAUAAAACCGGCCAAGAGCAUGUCAGGCCAUGCUCAGAGUAGGGUUCCGUAGUUACUCUUCCAUCACAAUAAGCUAAACUGGAGCUUAAAGUAUGGUAGAUUGUUAACCAAGGGAUGAACUGUGGGUGUACGUCUUUUUACUAUGAAGGGGAAACUUUUUGCGAUAACUCAAAAACAGCUAAACUGAUCAUAUCCGCUAUAGUUUUCAUUUAAUGUCUUUCUUAAGCUCUACUUCCAAGAUUUUUUUCAUAUUUUUUGGACUAAUGGUUCAAAAGUUAGAGGGGGGGGGACACAUUUUCUUUCUUUCGGAGCAAUUAUCUCCGAAUAUAUUCACUUUACCAAGAAAUGUUUGUUGAAGACCCAUAUUAGUUUUGAAAGACCUUUCCAACGAUAUCCCACACUGUAGGGUUGAAGCAAAAAAAAAAAUUUCACCCCCACUUUACGUGUAGAGGAGGUACCCUACACGUAAAAUUUUUAGAUUUUAUUGUAUGACUUUGUCGGCGUUAUUAAUUUAUAUAUCCAUGCCAAAUUUCAGCUUUCUAGCACUAACGACCAUGGAGCAAAGCCUCGGACAUACAGACAGACAGACGGACGGACAUGGCGAAACUAUAAGGGUUCCGUUUUUUGCCAUUUG